rnacentral:lncRNA from 1 species
UUCACAUUUUGAGGCUUCAACAGUUUCAUCUAUCAACAAUCUUGAAGAUUCAGAAGGGCAAAUGAGGCAAUAAAGUUUCAAUCUUGGUGAGUCUUUCAUUUCAAGCCCUAACCCUAGAUUCCCCCAAAUCAAAUUGAUUGAUACCUUCAUACCCAUUGAAGAAAAGAUUAAGCAUAUGUAUGCAAGACCCAGAACAAGCUCUCAAGAAUGAUAUUAUUAUCAAAAUGAGGUUUAAUUCUCUCUCAAAUUCAAUUUCAAAUUCAAAUUUAAACACACCCCCUUUCUGAACCUGAUGAAACCCUAACUCUAGAUAGAAAUAGCCCCAUUUUCGUAGCUCAAGAUUACACCCUUUUGGUUUCAGAUCAGGUUUUGACUGGAAUACCCUCAAAUCUUACAAAAAGUCAGCAACUUUCUAGCUGUUUAGUUUGUAAAAGGUGGUUAAAGAUUAGUGGUGGUUUAGUUAAGUCAUUGAGAUUAUUGGAUUGGGAUUUUCUUGAUUUGGGUCGACUCGGUUUUCGUUUUCCUAAUCUUAUUGAUGUUGAUAUUUAAUAAAUUCGUGGCGAUGGUGGCGGGAGUAUAGAGGUCAGUGGUGAUGGUGAUGAUGUCGGUGGUCGAUAGUGUAGGUGGUGGUGGCCUGAUGAGGAUGGUUGUAGAAGUGGGUUGUAGAGAGAGAGUACAGGGGAGAUGAUGAUGGUUUAGAUUUAUAAUUUUUAAAUUUUGACAUUCUUUUAUUUUGUAUUAAAUGACUGUUUUGC